rnacentral:rRNA from 1 species
GAUGAACGCUAGCUACAGGCUUAACACAUGCAAGUCGAGGGGAAACGACAUCGAAAGCUUGCUUUUGAUGGGCGUCGACCGGCGCACGGGUGAGUAACGCGUAUCCAACCUGCCCAUCACUUGGGAAUAACCUUGCGAAAGUAAGACUAAUACCCAAUGACAUCCCACGAAGACAUCUGAAUGGGAUUAAAGAUUUAUCGGUGAUGGAUGGGGAUGCGUCUGAUUAGCUUGUUGGCGGGGUAACGGCCCACCAAGGCAACGAUCAGUAGGGGUUCUGAGAGGAAGGUCCCCCACAUUGGAACUGGGACAAGGCCCAAACGCGUACGGGAGGCAGCGGUGAGUAAGAUUGGGCAAUGAGCGAGAGCCUGAACCAGCCAAGUAGCGUGCAGGAUGACGGCCCUAUGGGUUGUAAACUGCUUUUAUAAGGGGAUAAAGUGGGUCUCGUGAGACUUUUUGCAUGUACCUUAUGAAUAAGGACCGGCUAAUUCCGUG